UACGUAGGGCGCAAGCGUUAUCCGGAAUUAUUGGGCGUAAAGAGCUCGUCGGCGGUUCGUCGCGUCGGCUGUGAAAUCCCGAGGCUCAACCUCGGGUCUGCAGUCGAUACGGGCGGACUGGAGUUCGGCAGGGGAGACUGGAAUUCCUGGUGUAGCGGUGAAAUGCGCAGAUAUCAGGAGGAACACCGGUGGCGAAGGCGGGUCUCUGGGCCGAUACUGACGCUGAGGAGCGAAAGCGUGGGGAGCGAACAGG
rnacentral:rRNA from 1 species